AUCUAGAAUAUGUGUUGAUCUAGCUGGCAGCACGGUCAUUUCGCAUUACCUUGAUGAAUUGUACAUUUUGCCAUUUGUUUGACGCUAGAAGUUGCAUUUAACUAAGUAAUUGAAGUGGGUGCAAAAGUAAAGCAAAAGGACUUGUAUUAGUAAACGUAUCCCGUUUUGUUGAUUGAGAAAGACACAAAAGCUGUUUUCUAAUAAACUGUCUUUUUGCAUAUCAUGGUGCGUUUUUGAGUGAGAAUGGCGAAGCGACGCUUUUUUUCGUGAAGUGGUAAGAAUUAGGAAAUCACAACAGCCAAAGAGCGACUUCAGUGUGCUCUGAACCGUGGACAUGAGAGUGUGUGUUUGUGUGCUGCGUGAACUAUUUUUCCUGCGUAAAACACUUUCCCGUACUGCACCAUCCGCGGUGUUCUUUUUGCUUUAUCGGAGGACGAAUUUUUAUCAUCUAAUUGUUUCGUUUCAGAUGUGUGCUGCUCUCGCUAGCUGUUCUCCAAACCUCUUCAAAUUGCGACACUGUGUGCACAUGAGUUCAAGGUUCAAUUGAUCCUCGAGCAGAAAGCCAAGCAAAAAAAACUCGGUUUUGCUCUUCGUCUGAUUUGGAGAGCUCACGAAGGGGUUUGGGUUCCAUCUCUAACAACACCCACCGGUCACCAGCACUCAGAGAUCCGCUGAGAUUGAAGCUGACUUUGAAGCUGAGUUGGCGAAACGUCUCAGCCUCCGAAGUAACCCGAAGCCGAAGCGAACCCGAACGGGGUUCGGCAUGAACCUUCGUUUAAUUAGCCCCCUCCCCCUUUUUUUGCCAGGAUUUCUUUCCAAAAUGAUACAGUGCACAGAAUUAUAUCACAACAAUUCUAUUUAUUGAAAUUAAUAACAUUAAUCUAACAUGUUUCACAAAAAUCAAAAACACAUGCACUACGAACACUGGACUGAAUUUCACAUUUACGCACAUUAUUUCAAAACACACUUUCCACACUCACACAGUGAAUAAAAUCACAAAAUCGUCACAACACUUUCUGCUCUUCCUCACUGUUGCGCCUAGUUCCUUUUGCUACAUUGUACGGGCCCAAUACGCCAACACUACGACACAGCCACAGGUUUUGUUAUCUCCGUUCGCCGUGAAACACACAUGAAAUGGAAGAAAAAUGAUAUUAAUUAGAAAA